rnacentral:rRNA from 1 species
CUGAUGCGUUGUUGGGUAGGGGAGCGUUCUGUAAGCCUGCGAAGGUGUGCUGUGAGGCAUGCUGGAGGUAUCAGAAGUGCGAAUGCUGACAUAAGUAACGAUAAAGCGGGUGAAAAGCCCGCUCGCCGGAAGACCAAGGGUUCCUGUCCAACGUUAAUCGGGGCAGGGUGAGUCGACCCCUAAGGCGAGGCCGAAAGGCGUAGUCGAUGGGAAACAGGUUAAUAUUCCUGUACUUGGUGUUACUGCGAAGGGGGGACGGAGAAGGCUAUGUUGGCCGGGCGACGGUUGUCCCGGUUUAAGCGUGUAGGCUGGUUUUCCAGGCAAAUCCGGAAAAUCAAGGCUGAGGCGUGAUGACGAGGCACUACGGUGCUGAAGCAACAAAUGCCCUGCUUCCAGGAA